CACUUAGUGCUUGGCAUCAAGCGUUAAGAAAAGGUGGCCUCUGAAGAUGCUACCGAUUAUGGAUGGACCCGCGUCUGAUUAGCUAGUUGGUGGGGUAAAGGCCUACCAAGGCGACGAUCAGUAGCCGGCCUGAGAGGGUGAACGGCCACACUGGGACUGAGACACGGCCCAGACUCCUACGGGAGGCAGCAGUGGGGAAUCUUCCGCAAUGGACGAAAGUCUGACGGAGCAACGCCGCGUGUAUGAUGAAGGUCUUCGGAUUGUAAAGUACUGUCUUUGGGGAAGAAUGGUGUGUUUGAAAAUAUUGAGCACACAUGACGGUACCCAAGGAGGAAGCCCCGGCUAACUACGUGCCAGCAGCCGCGGUAAUACGUAGGGGGCAAGCGUUGUCCGGAAUUAUUGGGCGUAAAGGGCGCGUA
rnacentral:rRNA from 1 species